UUUAUGUCGUUCCAAGAAGACGACGCAAGUUUUGGCUUGCUACCAAGGUUUUUCAUUGUGUUUACCAAGAAGAUUGUGCGUGCAUCCAAGAAAAACCACAAGUCCAUUUCUUGUAACCACAAAGAUACUUCAAUGAUGUGUGGGUUUGUGCAACUGUGUGGUGGUGACCUAGAGAAUAAAGCUCUGGAUAUGAAAACAUCUGCCUGGUUUCUGCCGGACUGCCUGUAGUGGGUCAGACCAAAGUACAGCCAGCGUUAAGUCAUUAGCUGGUGAGGGUUCAGAAGCCAACCGCUCAGAUGGCUCCAGCUGGCCCUUUUUAUACCCAGUUACUCGUUAACAAGGAAUUCUGGGAUCGUACACUCCCAAUUACUGUGCAUGAACUGAAACUGACGUUUUCUGGUGUCUGAACUGCAUGACACUUGCACUUGGAAAGAGGAGACGUCAUAGCGUCACGUCAAUACACACCCAACCAACUAGCUAGUACCACUUACGUUGUGGUGGGAAUAUUUGAAUUUCUGUGUCAGUUAGCGAGAGAGAUCCCUAGAUCCGUAGACACCUCCGUAGACAUCCACUCACUGCCUGUCCGCAACAUUAGCUGUGGUUUCAACGAGAAGACUUCAAGACUUUCAACAAAGUCGACUUCGAAGGACUUCAAAUGAACCAUGGUCUAGGAACAAUUUACACAGUAGGUCUUAUGUUAGUGUGGUGGUUGUACAUUUCAAUGAUUUACUAGCUAGCUAACGUUAGUCAGCUGAAUUAAGUGCCAGAGAUGAAUAAACAUAUUUUAGCUAGCUACUUUGUGUUAAGCAAGAGUUUAGGGGUUAGUUGUUGCAAGGUCCUUGAAUGCCUUAUAAAAUAAGCUGUUUAUCAAGGUAAUAAGACUUACGAGCACACUGUGUCCUAUUGCAGGGAAGUGAUGUGUUUUGUUUUUGUGAGUGUAGGGAAAAACCUGUGAUCGAUAUUGAAGCAUAGAGGUGUUUUACGGAGACAUGAACAAUUAUUCUACUCCAUAUCCCUACACACCAGUCUCCUCUGCUACCUCCCAGGGAGGAGGAAUACCCUGAACUCCUCGUUCUCACAGGACUCAGGCUAGUACGCUGUUUCCAGCCCGGGCAUGCAAAGCUCCCUGUUACCCAGAGGACCCCCAUGCACCUCCUCAGCUAUCACAUGGGUCGCCCACGUACCCCCUACUGCCCCCUUAAUGAGCCCCAGGUCUACCCCACAUGCAAUACCACCCCCUUCACUCCAGGACGAGCAGCCCCCUCUGGCAGACCGGUACAGAGAGAAGGACAAGGACAGAGCGGGACAAGGACUCAGGAGUGAGGUAUGUGCCAGUAGGAUCAGCUCUAGAAGGUCAUCUUACCAGGAGGCCAACUCUUCCUCAAAUGAUUCGCACCACUCUGAGUGAGAGUGAGGGGAGAAGGGCUACAGACGGGACAGACUGGGCUCCAGAGAUUUCCGCAGACACCGUAUCCACCACUCCCACAAUCAUAGCAGCAGUAGCAGAGCAGCCAUGACAGCAGGAACAGAAACAGCGAUUACUCCAACAGCUCCGAUCCCACCACACCCCUCUGCUUCCCCCACUGCACCCUCCCUCCCUCCUGCUGCAUCUGUGAUAGCCCAGGACUGUGGCCAGGAUGGCCCGGCCAAGCCCAAACGCCAUGUGUAUCUAGGGCUGAGCGAUGUGGCCAAAAU